GACGAACGCUGGCGGCGUGCUUAACACAUGCAAGUCGAACGGAAAGGCCCUGCUUUUGUGGGGUGCUCGAGUGGCGAACGGGUGAGUAACACGUGAGUAACCUGCCCUUGACUUUGGGAUAACUUCAGGAAACUGGGGCUAAUACCGGAUAGGAGCUCCUGCUGCAUGGUGGGGGUUGGAAAGUUUCGGCGGUUGGGGAUGGACUCGCGGCUUAUCAGCUUGUUGGUGGGGUAGUGGUUUACCAAGGCUUUGACGGGUAGCCGGCCUGAGAGGGUGACCGGCCACAUUGGGACUGAGAGACGGCCCAGACUCCUACGGGAGGCAGCAGUGGGGAAUAUGGCACAAUGGGCGGAAGCGUGAUGCAGCAACGCCGCGUGCGGGAUGACGGCCUUCGGGUUAUAAACCGCUUUCGCCGGUGACGAAGCGUGCGUGACGGUAAUGGGUAAAGAAGCACCGGCUAACUACGUG
rnacentral:rRNA from 1 species